AGUGAACGCUGGCGGUAGGCCUAACACAUGCAAGUCGAACGGCAGCACAGUAAGAGCUUGCUCUUACGGGUGGCGAGUGGCGGACGGGUGAGGAAUACAUCGGAAUCUACUUUUUCGUGGGGGAUAACGUAGGGAAACUUACGCUAAUACCGCAUACGACCUACGGGUGAAAGCAGGGGAUCUUCGGACCUUGCGCGACUGAAUGAGCCGAUGUCGGAUUAGCUAGUUGGCGGGGUAAAGGCCCACCAAGGCGACGAUCCGUAGCUGGUCUGAGAGGAUGAUCAGCCACACUGGAACUGAGACACGGUCCAGACUCCUACGGGAGGCAGCAGUGGGGAAUAUUGGGCAAUGGGCGCAAGCCUGAUGCAGCAAUGCCGCGUGAGUGAAGAAGGCCUUCGGGUUGUAAAGCCCUUUUGUUGGGAAAGAAAAGCAGUGGGUUAAUACCCCGCUGUUCUGACGGUACCUAAAGAAUAAGCACCGGCUAACUUCGUG
rnacentral:rRNA from 1 species